UAGGGAAUCUUCCACAAUGGGCGCAAGCCUGAUGGAGCAACACCGCGUGAGUGAAGAAGGGUUUCGGCUCGUAAAACUCUGUUGGUAGAGAAGAACGUUGGUGAGAGUGGAAAGCUCAUCAAGUGACGGUAACUACCCAGAAAGGGACGGCUAACUACGUACCAG
rnacentral:rRNA from 1 species